rnacentral:rRNA from 1 species
UACGUAGGGGGCGAGCGUUGUCCGGAGUUACUGGGCGUAAAGGGCACGCAGGCGGUCCGGUAAGGCUGCGGGGACAGUGAGCGGCUUAACUGCUCAAGGGUCGCAGCGACUGCCGGGCUGGAGGGCCAGAGAGGGACCUGGAAUUCCGGGUGGAGCGGUGAAAUGCGUAGAGAUCCGGAGGAACACCAAUGGCGAAGGCAAGGUCCUGGCUGGUUCCUGACGCUCGGGUGCGAAAGCCAGGGGAGCGAACGGG